GACGAACGCUGGCGGCGUGCCUAACACAUGCAAGUCGAGCGGGGACAUCGUAGCAAUAUGGUGUUCCAGCGGCGGACGGGUGAGUAACGCGUGAGCAAUCUGUCCCAGACGGGGGGAUAACAGAUGGAAACAUCUGCUAAUACCGCAUAAGACCACGAGGUCACAUGAUCUUGGGGUAAAAGGAGAAAUCCGGUUUGGGGUGAGCUCGCGUCCGAUUAGCUAGUUGGCGGGGUAACGGCCCACCAAGGCGACGAUCGGUAGCCGGCCUGAGAGGGCGAUCGGCCACACUGGAACUGAGAAACGGUCCAGACUCCUACGGGAGGCAGCAGUGGGGAAUAUUGGGCAAUGGGCGAAAGCCUGACCCAGCAACGCCGCGUGAGGGAAGAAGGUUUUCGGAUUGUAAACCUCUGUCCUUGGUGACGAACGAAAUGACGGUAGCCAAGGAGGAAGCCCCGGCUAACUACGUG
rnacentral:rRNA from 1 species